ensembl:lncRNA
AUGAGCCAAGGAUUCAGAGAAAAAUAUAACAUUCCUUCUGUACCUUAUGGGUCAAAAGUUAUUAGCAUAAAGAUACAGACAAUUUUGACAAGUGGUGGCGCUAGAGAGUUGGAGUUAGAGACUCCAAAUUUGCUAUGGUUUAUGUUGAGACUGUCCUCUAUCAGUGUGCCAAAUUUCACAACUUUCCCGCAAGCGGUUCUAUGGGCUGCCAUAGACUUGCGGCGGAAGAAGAAGAAGAAGAAGAAGAAGAAGAAGAAGAAGAAGAAGAAUGACGCCAACGGAUACAAUAGUUGCCUACGCACCUUCGGUGCUUGGCCCCUAAUAAUAACGGCAACGAUUUCAAUAGGUGCCUACGCACCUUCCGUGCUUGGCCCCUAAUAAUAACGCCAACGAUUUCCAUCGGUGCCUACGCACCUUCGGUGCUUGGCACCUAAUAAUAACGCCAACGAUUUCAAUAUGUGCCUACGUACCUUCGGUGCUUGGCCCCUAAAUAUAGCUGCAAGCAGCAAUUACAGGGCCAAGCACUCCAGCGGCAUAUUGAGGAGCUAAGCAUGGCGCGGAGCAACAAUGAGCGAUUACAGCAAUUUUAGGAUGAUUGUAAUUGAAAUUUAUUAUUAAAAGUAUUAUGAUUAAAUGGUUUAUCACUUUUGACCAACAGUUGGCGCUGUGAUCAAAUCAUUUUGGUGUGUUCUGUGUGAGGUGAGAAUGGCACACACAAAGUUUGGUGUCAGUAUGCUAAAGCAUAGCAGAGAUACAGCCUCAAGUGUGAUUUUGGCAUCAUGCCUGAAAUUCGUC